UCCAAAAUGCAACCUUGCACGUUUUAAAAGUAUUAAUCUAAAAUCCUAGGUCCUUCACUACAUUACAGCAAGAGAUAAAUUUCCAAAAAAAAGAACUUAAUAGGCUACACCGCCACUCAAGCCAUGUUUAUUUCAAAAUCCAAAAUCAUAUUACAUAAGCCAUUAUGAACCCAUACAUAAAUCAUGUUCAUUACAAUGACCAAAUACAUUUCAAUAGCAUCAUGACUAAAACAUGGCAAGCCAUAGCAAUCUUGUGGCAAUCUUCUUCAAACUCCAUCUGUUUCUCCAACGCCACUACAACACUAAUCCUUUCUCGUUUCUAUCUCUACCCAAACGAACCACCGUUUUUUCCCCUUCAAACCAACCCCUCAAUCUCCAUUAUCCCAUUGCAUCCCAAUACCAACAGGACAAACCAAAGCCGCUACCGACAAUACUCCCAAAGUUCCCAGCUGCAACUAGCAACAUCACGGCAACGACGGAUAGCAGCCAAGUCCAACCUGCAAGCAACCAAACCAGUGAAUCAAGAUCAACCUUCUUGCAACAUUGUUGAUUUUAGAAACACAAAGAAGCAAUUGAAAAGUGGAACGAACCACAACUAUAAUAUAAACACAGACACAGUACUGAUUUGGACAAAGACAGAGUGCAUGUGAAUCAAGAAACCAUGACUUCUUCUAAUCAUGAUCCUACCGAGUGCAAAACGUAAUAUAUAAAGCCUGAAGUUAUCAAACAAAUUGUUGUCCAAAUAACAAGGCUGAUGGACAAGAGUAGUCAGAAUCACAGUUGCAGCCGGUAUCUACAACUGAAGUUUCUCAUGCUGGUAUUGAUACUCAAGUUGUUCAAUACGUACUACCUCCGCAGCUUGGCCCUGGACAGCUAUGGUGCCAUUUGCUUAUUCAUACCGAAUCAGCAGAACAAAUCGCAUAAGUACGAGAAGUACCAGCACCCUGUGAUCGCAACAAAGCCGGCAGCAGCUGCGAAAUGAUUAUGUAUCAGUUCAAGUAAUAUCCCUGAUACAAAAAUAACCAAGUGUCAAGACAUGUUCAAUAAAAUUUUAUUCCAAACACAAGAUAUGAGCAGUUAGACAUUUGGAUUAUUAACCAAAAUCAAAGAUGGAAUACCAAGCAUACAUCAAAAACACGGUUAAAACAGUAAAGGAGUAUUGGAGUACUUAAAAAUAUGUCAAAUAAGUACAUGAAAAUCGUUUGUUAAUACUAAUAGGGACCACCACAAAUUGACACAUACAAAUACCUCACUACAGACAAAAAUACAAGAUUGGACUUGCUUUCAACGAGGCAAAGAUUUAC
rnacentral:lncRNA from 1 species